UACAGAGGGGGCAAGCGUUGUUCGGAUUUACUGGGCGUAAAGCGCACGUAGGCGGAUCGUUAAGUCGGGGGUGAAAUCCUGGAGCUCAACUCCAGAACUGCCUUCGAUACUGGCGAUCUUGAGUCCGGAAGAGGUGAGUGGAACUCCUAGUGUAGAGGUGGAAUUCGUAGAUAUUAGGAAGAACACCAGUGGCGAAGGCGGCUCACUGGUCCGGUACUGACGCUGAGGUGCGAAAGCGUGGGGAGCAAACAGG
rnacentral:rRNA from 1 species